rnacentral:rRNA from 1 species
ACGGGUGAGUAACGCGUGGGUAACCUACCCUGUACACACGGAUAACAUACCGAAAGGUAUGCUAAUACGGGAUAAUAUAUUUGAGAGGCAUCUCUUAAAUAUCAAAGGUGAGCCAGUACAGGAUGGACCCGCGUCUGAUUAGCUAGUUGGUAAGGUAACGGCUUACCAAGGCAACGAUCAGUAGCCGACCUGAGAGGGUGAUCGGCCACAUUGGAACUGAGACACGGUCCAAACUCCUACGGGAGGCAGCAGUGGGGAAUAUUGCACAAUGGGCGAAAGCCUGAUGCAGCAACGCCGCGUGAGUGAUGAAGGCCUUCGGGUCGUAAAACUCUGUCCUCAAGGAAAAUAAUGACGGUACUUGAGGAGGAAGCCCCGGCUAACUACGUGCCAGCAGCCGCGGUAAUACGUAGGGGGCUAGCGUUAUCCGGAUUUACUGGGCGUAAAGGGUGCGUAGGCGGUCUUUCAAGUCAGGAGUGAAAGGCUACGGCUCAACCGUAGUAAGCUCUUGAAACUGGGAGACUUGAGUGCAGGAGAGGAGAGUGGAAUUCCUAGUGUAGCGGUGAAAUGCGUAGAUAUUAGGAGGAACACCAGUUGCGAAGGCGGCUCUCUGGACUGUAACUGACGCUGAGGCACGAAAGCGUGGGGAGCAAACAGGAUUAGAUACCCUGGUAGUCCACGCUGUAAACGAUGAGUACUAGGUGUCGGGGGUUACCCCCUUCGGUGCCGCAGCUAACG